AAAGACGAGACAGGGGGGAUAUGAUAGAAACAUUUAAAUAUAUAAAGCGAAUCAACACAGUAAAGGAGGAGACUAUAUUUAAAAGAAGAAAAACUACCACAACAAGAGGACAUAGUCUUAAAUUAGAGGGACAAAGGUUUAAAAAUAAUAUCAGGAAGUAUUACUUUACUGAGAGGGUAGUGGAUGCAUGGAAUAGCCUUCCAGCUGAAGUGGUAGAGGUUAACACAGUAAAGGAGUUUAAGCAUGCGUGGGAUAGGCAUAAGGCUAUCCUAACUAUAAGAUAAGACUAGGGACUAAUGAAAGUAUUUAGAAAAUUGGGCAGACUAGAUGGGCCGAAUGGUUCUUAUCUGCAGUCACAUUCUAUGUUUAUUUAAUAUGAG